UACGGGGGGAGCAAGCGUUGUUCGGAUUUACUGGGCGUAAAGGGCGCGUAGGCGGCCAGCACAAGUCAGUUGUGAAAUCUCCGAGCUUAACUCGGAACGGUCAACUGAUACUGUGCGGCUAGAGUGCGGAAGGGGCAACUGGAAUUCUUGGUGUAGCGGUGAGAUGCGUAGGUAUCAAGAGGAACACCUGCGGCGAAGGCGGGUUGCUGGGCCGACACUGACGCUGAGGCGCGAAAGCCAGGGGAGCGAACGGG
rnacentral:rRNA from 1 species